rnacentral:rRNA from 1 species
UACGGAGGGGGUUAGCGUUGUUCGGAAUUACUGGGCGUAAAGCGCGCGUAGGCGGACCAGAAAGUUGGGGGUGAAAUCCCGGGGCUCAACCCCGGAACGGCCUCCAAAACUCCUGGUCUUGAGUUCGAGAGAGGUGAGUGGAAUUCCGAGUGUAGAGGUGAAAUUCGUAGAUAUUCGGAGGAACACCAGUGGCGAAGGCGGCUCACUGGCUCGAUACUGACGCUGAGGUGCGAAAGUGNGGGGAGCAAACAGC